rnacentral:rRNA from 1 species
CCUACGGGAGGCAGCAGUAGGGAAUCUUCCACAAUGGGCGAAAGCCUGUUGGAGCAACGCCGCGUGGGUGAAGAAGGUCUUCGGAUCGUAAAACCCUGUUGUUAGAGAAGUAAGUGCGUGAGAGUAACUGUUCCCGUUUCGACGGUAUCUACCCAGAAAGCCACGGCUAACUACGUGCCAGCAGCCGCGGUAAUACGUAGGUGGCAAGCGUUAUCCGGAUUUAUUGGGCGUAAAGGGAACGCAGGCGGUCUUUUAAGUCUGAUGUGAAAGCCUUCGGCUUAACCGGAGUAGUGCAUUGGAAACUGGGAGACUUGAGUGCAGAAGAGGAGAGUGGAACUCCAUGUGUAGCGGUGAAAUGCGUAGAUAUAUGGAAGAACACCAGUGGCGAAAGCGGCUCUCUGGUCUGUAACUGACGCUGAGGUUCGAAAGCGUGGGUAGCAAACAGGAUUAGAUACCCUUGUAGUC